rnacentral:rRNA from 1 species
ACAUGCAGUCGAGCGAGGACUUCGGUCCUAGCGGCGGACGGGUGAGUAACGCGUGGGAACGUGCCCUUCACUACGGAAUAGUCCCGGGAAACUGGGUUAAUACCGUAUACGCCCUUCGGGGGAAAGAAUUUCGGUGAAGGAUCGGCCCGCGUCUGAUUAGGUAGUUGGUGGGGUAACGGNCUACCAAGCCUACGAUCAGUAGCUGGUUUGAGAGGAUGAUCAGCCACACUGGGACUGAGACACGGCCCAGACUCCUACGGGAGGCAGCAGUGGGGAAUCUUAGACAAUGGGGGCAACCCUGAUCUAGCCAUGCCGCGUGAGUGACGAAAGGCCCUAGGGUCGUAAAGCCUCUUUCACCAGGGAAGAUAAUGACCGGUACCUGGAGAAGAAACCCCGGCUAAACUCCGUGCCAGCAGCCGCGGUAAUACGGAGGGGGUUAGCGUUGUUCGGAAUUACUGGGCGUAAAGCGCCGCGUAGGCGGACUUGUUAAGUCAGGGGUGAAAUCCCCGGGGGCUCAACCCCGGAAACUGCCCUUGAUACUGGCAGUCUCGAGUUCGAGAGAGGUGAGUGGAACUUCCCGAGUGUAGAGGUGAAAUUUGUAGAUAUUCGGAAAAACACCAGUGGCGAAGGCCGGGUCACUGGGUCAUACUAGACGCUGAGGUGCGAAAGUGUGGGAGGCACCAGGAUUAGAUACCCUGGUAGUCCACACCGUAAACGAUGAAUGCCAGACGU